rnacentral:tRNA from 1 species
GGAAGUAGUUCAGUGGUAGAACAUCACCUUGCCAAGGUGGGGGUCGCGGGUUCGAACCCACUCAUCC